GAUGAACGCUGGCGGCGUGCCUAAUACAUGCAAGUCGAGCGAACAGACGAGGAGCUUGCUCCUCUGACGUUAGCGGCGGACGGGUGAGUAACACGUGGAUAACCUACCUAUAAGACUGGGAUAACUUCGGGAAACCGGAGCUAAUACCGGAUAAUAUAUUGAACCGCAUGGUUCAAUAGUGAAAGACGGUUUUGCUGUCACUUAUAGAUGGAUCCGCGCCGCAUUAGCUAGUUGGUAAGGUAACGGCUUACCAAGGCAACGAUGCGUAGCCGACCUGAGAGGGUGGUCGGCCAAACUGGAAAUGGGACCCGGGCCAGACCCCGACGGGGGGCAGAAGUGGGGAAUUUGCCGCAAUGGGGGAAAGCCUGGCGGGGCAACGCCGGGGGGGUGAUGAAGGUUCUCGGAUCGGAAAACCCUUUUAUUAGGGAAAAAAAAAUUGGUAAGUAACUUAGCACGUUUUGACGGGACCCUAUCAGAAAGCCAAGGCUAACGACG
rnacentral:rRNA from 1 species